UAUACCUAAUGAAUAUAGCUAGACGAUAAUUGAUAGCUAUAAAUAAUAACCAAUUAUCAAUGUUAUUAUUAAGUAAUAUUACGUAUGCCCUAUGGAUUUACUCUUCAUGUUUAUAAUUCUCUUCAUUUUUGAUGUUUUUUUUUUCUAUUUAUGUAGUAGGUAUACGAGCGUAUAUGUGUUACUUUUAUAAAGUAUACGCUUAAUCACUAAGAUGGUUCACGGGUAUACCCUCCAAAACACCACUGGAUACUUCGUACAAUGAACAAAUAAAUCGUUGAUGUAUAACAAUUUAACAUUUGAAAUUGUAACAAUAGUGCGUAUGCGAAAAAAUUAUUUGUUAACCUUUUUUACACGGAAAAACAAUUUUAUGUGAAAC